AAUUGAAUAGUCGCUGGUAAAUAUCCGAAAGGAAUUACGAGAGGAAAGUCCGGGCUCCAUAGAGCAAAGAUGCUAGAUAACGUCUAGUGAGGGAAACCUUAAGGAAAGUGCAACAGAAAAUAACCGCCUCUUUAGAAUAAGACGAGGUAAGGGUGAAAAGGCGAGGUAAGAGCUCACCGCUAUCAUGGUGACAUGAUAGGUCAGUGUAAACCCCAUCUGGAGCAACACCUAAUAAAGAAGAUUAAGCCUGCUCGGCACCUUCUUGAAUUGUGUGGCUUGAAAUAUAUAGUGAUAUAUAUUCUAGAUAAAUGACUAUUUUAAAUGACAGAACCCGGCUUACAGAUUUGCUUUU
rnacentral:RNase_P_RNA from 1 species